GACGAACGCUGGCGGCGUGUUUACACAUGCAAGUCGAACGGAAAGGCCCUGCUUUUGUGGGGUGCUCGAGUGGCGAACGGGUGAGUAACACGUGAGUAAUCUGCCCUUGACUUUGGGAUAACAUCAGGAAACAGGGGCUAAUACUAGAUAGGAGCUCCUGCUGCAUGGUGGGGGAUGGAAAGUUUCGGCGGUUGGGGAUGGACGCGCGGCUUAUCAGCUUGUUGGAGGGGUUGUGGAUUACCAAGGCUUUGAAGGGUAGCCGGCCUGAGAGGGUGACCGGGCACAAUGGGACUGAGAGAGGGCCCAGACUCCAACGGUAGGCAGCAGUGGGGAGUAUGGCACAGUGGGCGGAAGCCUGAGGCGGCAACGCCGCGUGCGGGAUGACGGCCUUCGGGUUAUAAACCGCUUUCGCCUGUGACGAAGCGGGAGUGACGGUAAUGAGUAAAGAAGCACCGGCUAACUACGUG
rnacentral:rRNA from 1 species